rnacentral:pre_miRNA from 1 species
AAUGUACUCCCUCCGUCCAAAAAUACUUGUCAUCAAAAUGGAUAAAAAGGGAUGUAUCUAGAACUAAUAUACAUCUAGAUACAUCCCCUUUUAUUCAUUUUGAUGACAAGUAUUUCCGGACGGAGGGAGUAGAAU